UACGUAGGGGGCUAGCGUUGUCCGGAAUCAUUGGGCGUAAAGAGCGCGUAGGCGGCCAGAUAAGUCCGGUGUGAAAGUCAAAGGCUCAACCUUUGAAUGCCGCUGGAAACUGUCUGGCUAGAGUCCGGGAGGGGCGAGUGGAAUUCUUGGUGUAGCGGUGAAAUGCGUAGAUAUCAAGAGGAACACCUGCGGCGAAGGCGGGUUGCUGGGCCGACACUGACGCUGAUGCGCGAAAGCUAGGGGAGCGAACGGG
rnacentral:rRNA from 1 species